AACGAACGCUGGCGGCAUGCCUAACACAUGCAAGUCGAACGAGACCUUCGGGUCUAGUGGCGCACGGGUGCGUAACGCGUGGGAACCUGCCCUUAGGUUCGGAAUAACUCCCCGAAGGGGGGCUAAAACCGGAUAAUGUCCUCGGACCAAAGAUUUAUCGCCUUUGGAUGGGCCCGCGUUGGGUUAGCUAGUUGGUAGGGUAAAAGCCUACCAAGGCGACGAUCCAUAGCUGGUCUGAGAGGAUGAUCAGCCACACUGGGACUGAGACACGGCCCAGACUCCUACGGGAGGCAGCAGUGGGGAAUAUUGGACAAUGGGCGAAAGCCUGAUCCAGCAAUGCCGCGUGAGUGAUGAAGGCCUUAGGGUUGUAAAGCUCUUUUACCCGGGAUGAUAAUGACAGUACCGGGAGAAUAAGCUCCGGCUAACUCCGUG
rnacentral:rRNA from 1 species